rnacentral:rRNA from 1 species
AUUGAACGCUGGCGGCAUGCCUUACACAUGCAAGUCGAACGGUAACGGGCCUUCGGGUGCCGACGAGUGGCGAACGGGUGAGUAAUACAUCUGAACGUGCCCGAUCGUGUGGGGUAACGCGGCGAAAGCUUUGCUCAUACCGCAUACGAUCUCCGGGUGAAAGAAGGGGACCGCAUGGCCUUGCACGGUCGGAGCGGCCGAUGGCAGAUUAGGUAGUUGGUGGGAUAAAAGCUUACCAAGCCGACGAUCUGUAGCUGGUCUGAGAGGAUGAUCAGCCACACUGGGACUGAGACACGGCCCAGACUCCUACGGGAGGCAGCAGUGGGGAAUUUUGGACAAUGGGCGCAAGCCUGAUCCAGCCAUGCCGCGUGCAGGAUGAAGGCCUUCGGGUUGUAAACUGCUUUUGGACGGAACGAAAAGCAGUCAUUUAAUACAGGAGGGUCAUGACGGUACCGUAAGAAUAAGCACCGACUAACUACGUG